ACUUCUGUUGCAGUUAGGUCGUUUGGAAGAUGCAGCUGAUGUUUAUAGAGGAUUACAAGAGAGAAAUCCUGAAAAUUGGGCCUAUUACAAAGGCCUGGAAAAGGCACUCAAACCAGCUAAUAUGUUAGAACGACUAAAAAUUUAUGAGGAGGCCUGGACUAAAUAUCCCAGGGGACUGGUGCCAAGAAGACUGCCAUUGAACUUUUUAUCUGGUGAGAAGUUUAAAGAAUGUUUGGAUAAGUUUCUAAGGAUGAAUUUCAGCAAGGGUUGUCCACCAGUCUUCAAUACUUUGAGGUCAUUAUACAAAGAUAAA